rnacentral:rRNA from 1 species
UACAGAGGUGGCAAACGUUGUUCGGAUUCACUGGGUGUAAAGGACAGGUAGGCGUUCUAUUAAGUCGGUUGUGAAAUCCCAUGGCUCACCCAUGGAACUGCGACCGAUACUGGUAGAAUUGAGUACGUGAGAGGUAAGCGGAAUUCCACAAGUAACGGUGAAAUGUGUAGAUAUGUGGAGGAACACCAUUAGCGAAGGCGGCUUACUGGUACGAAACUGACGCUGAACUGUGAAAGCUAGGGGAGCAAACAGG